ACACAUCUAACCACUCUUCAGCUGAUAUCCACUUGCUGACAAAUGAAUCUCUCUGGCCCCUGGACUGUGCCCUGAAACACAGCUUAAAACAGCAGAAUGAACAGUAAUCCCAGAGAUCCUGAGAUGAGAAAAGGGUGUUUGACUUAUUCAAAGAAGACCAAGGAAGCCCAAAGACCAGAGAAGAGUGCAGGAAAGGGGCGGCGGUCUGAGAUGCAGUCAGAGCAGUGGCAAGCCCCCAGAGUCUGUGGCAAAGACUUCAGGUUUCAUCCUGAAGAGGAAGACAGGUCUUUGGAGAGUUUUGAUCAAGGAAGUGAGAUGAAAUAUCUUAGGCUUACAAAGAACUACUCUGACAUCUAAAUGGAAAAUGGACUGAUGAAGCAAAAGAAGCCACAAGGAAGCCAGUUCAGAGGCUAUUGAAAUGCUCCAGAUACUCAGAGAGUGAGAGCCUUCAGAUUUGGGUGAGUGAUGCCAUUAGAACCAAGAUUUCUUCCAUUCUUCUGCUCUAUCAUUCUCAGCACAACAUGCUUUUCUCAUUAAGAUUUUCAAAAAUGCUUGUUGAUAAAAUGAAGUCAGAAUGUGAGAUGAGCCCUUCCACCUGAGUGAUGUUGGUCUUGGCUGUGUGAUUUGCUUUGGCUGAUGAUAAGUUGAUGGAAGUGAUAGUAAGACAAUGCUGAGCCUCAUCCUCGGAAGUAUCUCUGCCUUCACCUGGCUUUGUGCACCACUGCCCUGGCUUUGAGAAGAACAUGAGCCCAGUAAAUUGUUAGUCCAGGAAGAAUGAGAGAGAAAGUCCUGAGGCAGAGAAGUGGAGAGAAGUUGCUGCUUGAGCUUGAGAAAGAAUGGUGGCAGAGUACAUGCAUGGAAGUGCUACCAUAGCUGCUCUGAAAUCAGAGGAAAGUGGAAUUAUAAGAAGACCCCAUCUGACAAGGCUCAUAAAGGAGAGCAACUCUUAUGGAAUACAUCCAAGAUAUAUACGUCUUUGAAGAAAGACAUCACUCAACUGUGAAAGAUCACCAUGACCCCUGCUUUAAUUUCAUCAAAAAACUUAGUCCAUCAGCUCAGUUACCCUUUAGCCUUGCAUGGGAAUUGACUCAGAGCUUCUGCAAGAUCAGGCCCUAUAUUAGGUAUUGAGGGUUCAGGGAUGAACUAAGCUGAUCUGGUUCCUGCUCUCUAGGCUGUAGAAGAUGGCAAGUGCUGUGGACUUCAAAGAAAAGAUUUCUGAAGUGUCAUGUUAUGACAAUUGUGAUGCUUCAAACUAUGUUGACUAUUCAUUUACAGCAUAAAGAAGAGUGAGCCACUUUAUCACUGCAGUAAUUAUAUUUUAAAAAUAAAGAAAAUAAAACAAAUGGAGUUUCCCACCCAAUCCAUGGAGACACAGACACGAAGUCUUACUAUAGAUGUGUGGCCAAUCCUUACAUUGCUUUUAUUACAAGCCUGGAAAUGACAAUAAAAUACAUGAACUUGAGAGUAUAUA
rnacentral:lncRNA from 1 species